rnacentral:tRNA from 1 species
UUAAUUGAAGCCAAAAUAGAGGCCUUUCAUUGUUAAUGAAAAAAUUGAUAUUAAUAUCCAAUUAAA